ACUCUCAUGGCGUAGGGUAACGCGCCCGAACUAGAUAUUAGGGAGUCGUGAGUUCGAUUCUCACUGAGAAGA
rfam:Aedes aegypti strain Liverpool supercont1.994 genomic scaffold, whole genome shotgun sequence.